GACGAACGCUGGCGGCGUGCUUAACACAUGCAAGUCGAGCGGUAAGGCCCUUUCGGGGGUACGACGAGCGGCGAACGGGUGAGUAACACGUGGGUGACCUGCCCUCAGCUCUGGGAUAAGCCUGGGAAACCGGGUCUAAUACCGGAUAUGACUCCAUGACGCAUGUUGUGGGGUGGAAAGCCUUGUGCGGCUGAGGAUGGGCCCGCGGCCUAUCAGCUUGUUGGUGGGGUGAUGGCCUACCAAGGCGACGACGGUAGCCGGCCUGAGAGGCGACCGGCCACACUGGGACUGAGACACGGCCCAGACUCCUACGGGAGGCAGCAGUGGGGAAUCUUGCGCAAUGGGCGAAAGCCUGACGCAGCGACGCCGCGUGAGGGAUGACGGCCUCGG
rnacentral:rRNA from 1 species